AUGUCAUGAAAUCUCAGAUUUUCCUGUGAAAUCCAGUGUAAAUGCUUCAGGUGAUCUCUAUGUGUCACCUUGCUUUAAAGAACAUAUAUAUGUACCUGUAUUCGCAGUAGCAUACACCUUAUGUUAUAAACACAUACAUAUGCAAAUAUGAGAUAUGCCUCUGAGAUUCUGCUACGGGUGUUUUUUUUCCUUUUAACAUUCCAUUUUUAAUUCAUUGAUUUUGUAGGGGUAAAAGAUAUAUACUUCAGAAAUUUUACACAAAUAUUUAUAUCAGAUUUAAAUUUUAUAAAAGAAACAAACAAAAAGUUCAAGGACACAGAUUUUUGAAUUUGCAACCCAAAACUAUCAUUUCUUGAUAGUGUAUGUUGACGUACAAGUGUACUUGUUGUACUGUGUUAUAUGUAUGAAAAUGAAUCAUUAAUUAACUUCUUGAUUGACCUGUCUUACUGACCAGAGCAUCACUGUAUGAGUUGGUCAGUUACUUGUGCAAUGAUCCACUCUCCAAGGUGUAUGUGUAUGAAUGUCUGACGAUUGUGGUUGUUUUUAUUCUCAAUAUUGAUGUUCAUGUGAUUUAGAAAUAUUGUGAUCUUUUACUACUUAUUAAAUUCAUUCAAAUAC
rnacentral:misc_RNA from 1 species